rnacentral:rRNA from 1 species
UACGUAGGGGGCAAGCGUUGUCCGGAUUUAUUGGGCGUAAAGAGCGUGUAGGCGGCUUUACAGGUCCGUUGUGAAAACUCGAGGCUCAACCUCGAGACGCCGGUGGAAACCGUAAGGCUAGAGUCCGGAAGAGGAGAGUGGAAUUCCUGGUGUAGCGGUGAAAUGCGCAGAUAUCAGGAAGAACACCCGUGGCGAAGGCGGCUCUCUGGGACGGUACUGACGCUGAGGCGCGAGAGCGUGGGGAGCGAACCGG